rnacentral:rRNA from 1 species
GACGAACGCUGGCGGCGUGCCUAAUACAUGCAAGUCGAGCGGAACUGGGGGAGCUUGCUCCUUCCAGUUUAGCGGCGGACGGGUGAGUAACACGUUGGCAACCUGCCCUGCAGAUCGGGAUAACUCCGGGAAACCGGUGCUAAUACCAAAUAGUUUGGCGCCUCUCCUGAGGCGCUACGGAAAGACGGUUUCGGCUGUCACCGCAGGCUGGGCCCGCGGUGCAUUAGCUAGUUGGUGGGGUAACGGCCCACCAAGGCGACGAUGCGUAGCCGGCCUGAGAGGGUGCCCGGCCACACUGGGACUGAGACACGGCCCAGACUCCUACGGGAGGCAGCAGUAGGGAAUCUUCCGCAAUGGACGCAAGUCUGACGGAGCAACGCCGCGUGAGUGACGAAGGUUUUCGGAUCGUAAAACUCUGUUGUGAGGGAAGAACACGUACCAACUAACUAUUGGUACCUUGACGGUACCUCACCAGAAAGCCACGGCUAACUACGUGCCAGCCGCCGCCGUAA